AUGAUGUUGACUUGAAAGGUGCAACUGCAUCACUAAGAGAUGGACCUGCGUUGUAUUAGCUAGUUGGUGAGGUAACGGCUCACCAAGGCGACGAUACAUAGCCGACCUGAGAGGGUGAUCGGCCACACUGGGACUGAGACACGGCCCAGACUCCUACGGGAGGCAGCAGUAGGGAAUCUUCGGCAAUGGACGGAAGUCUGACCGAGCAACGCCGCGUGAGUGAAGAAGGUUUUCGGAUCGUAAAGCUCUGUUGUAAGAGAAGAACGAGUGUGAGAGUGGAAAGUUCACACUGUGACGGUAACUUACCAGAAAGGGACGGCUAACUACGUGCCAGCAGCCGCGGUAAUACGUAGGUCCCGAGCGUUAUCCGGAUUUAUUGGGCGUAAAGCGAGCGCAGGCGGUUAGAUAAGUCUGAAGUUAAAGGCUGUGGCUUAACCAUAGUACGCUUUGGAAACUGUUUAACUUGAGUGCAGAAGGGGAGAGUGGAAUUCCAUGUGUAGCGGUGAAAUGCGUAGAUAUAUGAAGGAACACCGGUGGCGAAAGCG
rnacentral:rRNA from 1 species